AUCUACAGGCUUAACACAUGCAAGUCGAGGGGCAGCAUGGUCUUAGCUUGCUAAGGCCGAUGGCGACCGGCGCACGGGUGAGUAACACGUAUCCAACCUGCCGUCUACUCUUGGACAGCCUUCUGAAAGGAAGAUUAAUACAAGAUGGCAUCAUGAGUCCGCAUGUUCACAUGAUUAAAGGUAUUCCGGUAGACGAUGGGGAUGCGUUCCAUUAGAUAGUAGGCGGGGUAACGGCCCACCUAGUCUUCGAUGGAUAGGGGUUCUGAGAGGAAGGUCCCCCACAUUGGAACUGAGACACGGUCCAAACUCCUACGGGAGGCAGCAGUGAGGAAUAUUGGUCAAUGGGCGAGAGCCUGAACCAGCCAAGUAGCGUGAAGGAUGACUGCCCUAUGGGUUGUAAACUUCUUUUAUAAAGGAAUAAAGUCGGGUAUGGAUACCCGUUUGCAUGUACUUUAUGAAUAAGGAUCGGCUAACUCCGUGCCAGCAGCCGCGGUAAUACGGAGGAUCCGAGCGUUAUCCGGAUUUAUUGGGUUUAAAGGGAGCGUAGAUGGAUGGUUAAGUCAGUUGUGAAAGUUUGCGGCUCACCCGUAAAAUUGCAGUUGAUACUGGAUAUCUUGAGUGCAGUUGAGGCAGGCGGAAUUCGUGGUGUAGCGGUGAAAUGCUUAGAUAUCACGAAGAACUCCGAUUGCGAAGGCAGCCUGCUAAGCUGCAACUGACAUUGAGGCUCGAAAGUGUGGGUAUCAAACAGGAUUAGAUACCCUGGUAGUCCACACGGUAAACGAUGAAUACUCGCUGUUUGCGAUAUACUGCAAGCGGCCAAGCGAAAGCGUUAAGUAUUCCACCUGGGGAGUACGCCGGCAACGGUGAAACUCAAAGGAAUUGACGGGGGCCCGCACAAGCGGAGGAACAUGUGGUUUAAUUCGAUGAUACGCGAGGAACCUUACCCGGGCUUAAAUUGCAGAUGAAUUACGGUGAAAGCCGUAAGCCGCAAGGCAUCUGUGAAGGUGCUGCAUGGUUGUCGUCAGCUCGUGCCGUGAGGUGUCGGCUUAAGUGCCAUAACGAGCGCAACCCUUGUUGUCAGUUACUAACAGGUUCCGCUGAGGACUCUGACAAGACUGCCAUCGUAAGAUGUGAGGAAGGUGGGGAUGACGUCAAAUCAGCACGGCCCUUACGUCCGGGGCUACACACGUGUUACAAUGGGGGGUACAGAGGGCCGCUACCACGCGAGUGGAUGCCAAUCCCCAAAACCUCUCUCAGUUCGGACUGGAGUCUGCAACCCGACUCCACGAAGCUGGAUUCGCUAGUAAUCGCGCAUCAGCCACGGCGCGGUGAAUACGUUCCCGGGCCUUGUACACACCGCCCGUCAAGCCAUGGGAGCCGGGGGUACCUGAAGUGCGUAACCGCGAGGAGCGCCCUAGGGUAAAACUGGUGACUGG
rnacentral:rRNA from 1 species